rnacentral:rRNA from 1 species
AGAACGAACGCUGGCGGCAUGCCUAACACAUGCAAGUCGAACGAGACCUUCGGGUCUAGUGGCGCACGGGUGCGUAACGCGUGGGAAUCUGCCCUUGGGUUCGGAAUAACGGCUAGAAAUGGCUGCUAAUACCGGAUGACGACGUAAGUCCAAAGAUUUAUCGCCCAAGGAUGAGCCCGCGUAGGAUUAGCUUGUUGGUGAGGUAAAGGCUCACCAAGGCGACGAUCCUUAGCUGGUCUGAGAGGAUGAUCAGCCACACUGGGACUGAGACACGGCCCAGACUCCUACGGGAGGCAGCAGUGGGGAAUAUUGGACAAUGGGCGAAAGCCUGAUCCAGCAAUGCCGCGUGAGUGAUGAAGGCCUUAGGGUUGUAAAGCUCUUUUACCCGGGAUGAUAAUGACAGUACCGGAGAAUAAGCUCCGGCUAACUCCGUGCCAGCAGCCGC